ACAUAAAGAUUGCGCCCAGGCUCUCGAUACAUCGAAAGGGUGUUAGACUUAUCUGAAGGCAGGUAGGGAAUCGUUACGGACUUAGCGCACAGAGCGGUCCACAAUGGCGUGGCUU
rnacentral:sRNA from 12 species